rnacentral:rRNA from 1 species
AAAUUGAAGAGUUUGAUCAUGGCUCAGAUUGAACGCUGGCGGCAGGCCUAACACAUGCAAGUCGAACGGUAACAGGAAACAGCUUGCUGUUUCGCUGACGAGUGGCGGACGGGUGAGUAAUGUCUGGGAAACUGCCUGAUGGAGGGAGAUAACUACUGGAAACGGUAGCUAAUACCGCAUAACGUCGCAAGACCAAAGAGGGGGACCUUCGGGCCUCUUGCCAUCGGAUGUGCCCAGAUGGGAUUAGCUUGUUGGUGGGGUAACGGCUCACCAA